AGAACGAACGUUGGCGGCAUGGAUUAGGCAUGCAAGUCGAAUGAAUGCUGGGUAGCAAUAUCUAGCGGAAAUGGCGAAAGGGGCAGUAAUACAUGGAUAACCUACCCUGGGGAUGGGCAUAGCCGGUCUAACGGCCGGGUAAUACCCAGAGAGUCGACGAUGUGGCAUCACAAUGUCGGGAAAUGAAUUUCGCCUCGGGAGGGUCCAUGAGCUAUCAGCUAGUUGGUGGGGUAACGGCCCACCAAGGCUUAGACGGCUAGCGGGUGUGAGAGCACGACCCGCGCCACUGGCACUGAGACACUGGCCAGACACCUACGGGUGGCUGCAGUCGGGAUCUUCGUCAAUGGGCAAGCCUGAACGAGCGAUGCCGCGUGAGCGAUGAAGGUCCGUUCGGGUUAGUAAACGCUUACGAAAAAGAAGGUUAGAAGGAAAGGAAACUUGAUACAAACUUCAAGUAAGCUCAGACUUAAGUCGUGCC
rnacentral:rRNA from 1 species